rnacentral:rRNA from 1 species
GUGAGGAAUAUUGCGCAAUGGAGGCAACUCUGACGCAGCCAUGCCGCGUGCAGGAAGAAGGCGCUACGCGUUGUAAACUGCUUUUAACCGGGAAGAAACCCCAGGACGUGUCCUGGGUUGACGGUACCGGAGGAAUAAGCACCGGCUAACUUCGUGCCAGCAGCCGCGGUAAUACGAAGGGUGCAAGCGUUAUCCGGAUUCAUUGGGUUUAAAGGGUGCGUAGGCGGAGGGUUAAGUCAGUGGUGAAAUCCUGCAGCUUAACUGUAGACUUGCCAUUGAUACUGGCGCUCUUGAGUGCGCUUGAAGUGGGCGGAAUGUGCCGUGUAGCGGUGAAAUGCUUAGAUAUGGCACAGAACACCAAUUGCGAAGGCAGCUCACUAAGGCGAUACUGACGCUGAGGCACGAAAGCGUGGGGAUCGAACAGGAUUAGAUACCCCAGUAGUCC